GAUGAACGCUGGCGGCGUGCCUAAUACAUGCAAGUCGAGCGAACAGAUGAGGAGCUUGCUCCUCUGACGUUAGCGGCGGACGGGUGAGUAACACGUGGAUAACCUACCUAUAGGACUGGGAUAACUUCGGGAAACCGGAGCUAAUACCGGAUAAUAUAUUGAACCGCAUGAUUCAAUAGUGAAAGACGGUUUUGCUGUCACUUAUAGAUGGAUCCGCGCCGCAUUAGCUAGUUGGUAAGGUAACGGCUUACCAAGGCAACGAUGCGUAGCCGACCUGAGAGGGUGAUCGGCCACACUGGAACUGAGACACGGUCCAGACUCCUACGGGAGGCAGCAGUAGGGAAUCUUCCGCAAUGGGCGAAAGCCUGACGGAGCAACGCCGCGUGAGUGAUGAAGGUCUUCGGAUCGUAAAACUCUGUUAUUAGGGAAGAACAAAUGUGUAAGUAACUAUGCACGUCUUGACGGUACCUAAUCAGAAAGCCACGGCUAACUACGUG
rnacentral:rRNA from 1 species